UAAGCAAAAAGUGAUAGAGGGAGAACUGCAAAAAGAAAGACCAAAAAAAAAAAAGUUUCCAAUGGUGGUUGGUGUGGCGGUGGAGGCCAUAGUGUACGUUAAAAAAAUCUGCUUUAAUUAGGAUUCACUUUUGAGAUAUUAAUUUUUUUUAAAAAUGCAUUUGUUGAUAGUGGAUUUAUGGCAUUAUACAUGGGAGGCAGUUUUCUCAUAUGGUAACAAAAUCCCACCCCCUUUUUCCUUACUAUAUAUCUUUCUAUAUUCUAUAUAUAGAAGCCUUCUACGUUCACCUCUUUAGUUUGAAUUUGUCCAUCUCUCUCUCUCUACAUAUGUGUGUGUGUGUGUGUGUGUGUGUGUGUGUGUGUGUGAUUGUGUGCCUUGUGUUUCCCCAGAUUAAUUCGUUCUCUUUGCAAGAAGAUCAAUAGAGGAUUUGUGUCACUCAUCAAUGGAAGCAAGAAACGGAUUCGAAAGGGAUGGGAGAUACAUCAAAGAAGAAGGUCUAAGAGAACUCACAUGUAUACUGCUUGCAAAUUAAAUGGUAAGUUUAUUUCUUAAAAAAAAAUUAAAUAAUGUUUGGUUACUCUUUUGAGCCAGUAGAUAUGGAGAUAAUUGGGAUAAAAUCAUAAUGAAUAAUUUCGUGCUUGAUAAGUUUAUUUCUUGUAGUUGUUUUGCCUUUUAAAUAUGGUUUUAAUUGCUUAGACAACACUAAAUUAUUUUACUAAAUAUAUAUAUAUAUAUAUAACCCACAUUGAACAAGCUCUUCGAUAUAUAAGGGUUUUUGUUUUUUUCUUGAUUUGGAUCUAAUUGGAAGAGCAUGCAUGUACUAGCAGUGUUUUUCUUUAUCAGGUUUCAGCAUGAUCAUCGCAAUUAAGAGAGGAAUAUUGAUGGUGUGGCCUCUCUCUUCUUGCAAGGAAUAUAUUUCUCCCAUGAACUUUAAUUUGAUGAUUCGAUUCCCACUUAGCUACCAUUCUAUGCAGCAGAAAAGCUUAAGGGCCAUCCUCUGAUCAAGAACUACUUUCUCAAGGCUCGGAGAGAGCAUCAUUGUAAUUUGCUAAUGUUUUAAUUCCUCCAUUGUGCUUUACAGUGUUACCUUUUUUCCUCAACUACGGAAGAACAUUAAUAUUUUUUUCCUGGCCGUCUGUGUACUAAUUGGUUGGCAUACAUACUUAUAUUUGUAGUUAAACUAGCUAGUUGCUCAUUUGUUACAUUA